rnacentral:lncRNA from 10 species
GUGAAGCACAUUCACAGGAAUCCAGGCUGCAAUAGUAGCUCUUGCAGGGAAGUAAUGUUCCAACAUUAUCUUGGUCCACUGUCUCAAUGACAUCAUGUUAAUUGGACUGGAUGAGGAAGAAAUGGCAAGUGCAUUGGAGGUUUUGGUAAGACACAUACAUGUACUCCAAAGAACAGAAGAUGCAUCUAAUGAAGAUUCAAGGACCUGACAUAUCCGUUUUUAGGAAUAUAGCCAUUUGGGACAUGCCAGAACAGCUUUUUGAAAGAAAAGGACAGUCUAAUGCCUCUCAUAUUGUGCACCCCUAAGAAAGAAGCACAGCUUUUUAAAGGCUUCUUUGGGUUCUAGGGACAGCAUAUUUCAUACUUGGAAAUACUGUUUCAACUCAUUCGCCAAGUGACACAAAAGAUUACCAACUUCAUUUGAGACUUCAAGCAAAAAAGAGCUCUGCUACGUGAUUUGCCACCGGAACUUGGUAGAUGGAAAAUAUGAGAGCUCAACUGACCAUGCAGCCAGAACUGCCCAUCCUAACUUAGGUAUUUCCAACCUCCAUCAAAUCAUAAGGUUGAGCUAAACCAAUAGCAAUCCACUGUAAGAUCGAAGUGAUAUAUCUGGAAUUGGGAAUUGGCAGAGACAAAAGGCAGAAGUUAAGUUUCAGAGGGCACGGACCUCCAAAUAACCUACCAUUGUUAUGCUAUCACCUUUCCCUAAGCUCACCCCUGUUAUACUGUCACCUUUCCCUAAGCUCACCCCUGUUAUACUGUCACCUUUCCCUAAGCUCACCGUUAUACUGUUGCCUUUCCCUAUAGCCACGUAGGCAUCCCUUUUGACUGACUGACAAAGGAAGAAAAAGUUACACCUGGGUCAUGAAUGGGUUGGCUCUCUAUGGGGGUCCAAGCUGAGAAAGCACUGUUGCUACUCUACAGUUCCACCUUUGGUGUGAGUAGAUAUUCCAUAAUAUUUCUGUAAACCUUCUGAUGGUGUCCCUGAGAGACAGCAAUGAGGAGUAACACUCUCAAUGUUUAGAGGAUCAGAUGGUCACAGCCAUUUUUAUGGCUGGAGGUAAGAAUAAAUAGGAACUUACAGGAAGUAACCUCUCGUUUGGCUGAUUGGAUGGGGGCUUGGAAGAAGAGCGAUAGAAAGAUCAUAGAAAAAAAGAUCUGGGAAAGAGGCAUGUGCCUCUGCCUGUGGCUGUAGAUUGGAAGUUUGAAUAUCUUUGCAUCUCAUGGCACUGCCCGCAAGGAAACAUUCACCAAGAAUGAGGCAUUAAACAGCCGUGUAGACAGCAUGACUCAGCCAGUUGAUGUCAUCAGCAUUUCAUUGCCCAAUGCUGGCCUGAUGGAUGCAUGAAGAAACUGAUCAUUGCUGAGGGAUGGGCUCAGUGGCAUUUGUCCUCACUAACCAAGGCUGAUUUAGGUAUUGUUCUCCAACUCCAUCUAGCUGCUGAUUCCCCAAAUUGCUAGCAAAAGAGAUCAUUACUGAGUCUCUGGUACAGCAAAAUCCCUCAGGGAAACCAACCAGCCGCUCAGUGGCAAGUUGAUUACACUGGAACCUUUCUAUCCUGGAAAAGGUAGUGAUUCAUCUCGACUGGAAAAGUCACAUAUUGUGGUAUGAGUUUCCUUUUCCUACCACAAGGCCUCAGCUAGCACCAUCAGAAGAACGGAAUAUCUACCCACACCAUAUAUGGUGUAACAUAGCCUCAGACCAAACAACAAUGUUGUAGGAGUGUACACAUAACCAUGUAUCUAUUGGUUCUGUUACAUUCUGCACCACUCUGAAGUUGCAGGUCUGAAAGAUAAUGGAAUUGACUUUUGAAGGAGCAGCUUAGAUACUGGCUUGCAGAUGAUACCUUGCACAGAUGAGGCAUUAUCUUUCAGGAUGUAAUAUAUACCCUAAAUCAAAGACCCUUUUACAGUUCUAUUCUCCAGUGGGUCCAGGAUGGCUCUACUUAUCAUCACUACCAGUGAAUGACUCAGUUGAGAAAUGUUUCCUCAAUAAUGCAUGUUUUGGUUCUGUGGAUUCUAAACUAGGUUCUGGAUUCUAAAGUGGAAAUUGUUUUACCAGGGGGCCCAGUAAGAGUCCCAUUAAACUUUAAACUAUGGCUACUGUAGGGUCAUUUAAGUUUCUUCAUGUCAAGAGUCCAGUAAGCAAUAAAAGAAAACAAUGUUGGUAGAGGUAAUUGAUUCCGGCCAUUAGGAGGCCAUCCUCCUAAUGGCCUCCUAGGGGUACUCAGUGGGGUCUGGAAAGCAUAAGUUUGGUUGUCAGGUUAUCUACUGGAUCAUGUCUUGAUACUUUCCUGAUUUUUUCAAGAAAUGGACAAGUACAGCAGCCACAGUAUGGUGUGGUUACCAGAAGCCUAGGCACUCAGGGAUGACUGUCUGGGUAACCCCACCAGGUAAGCCAUCUAGAUCAUCAGAGGUGCUAAAUUAGGGUCAAAACAAUCUGGAAUAGGUUGCAGAGGAGGGAGAAAAUGAGUUUCAGUUUCAGCUGUAAAACCAGCUAUAUUGGCAAAAGCUAUAUAUAUAGUUCAUGCUACUCAUCUUUCUUUUGUAAAGUUUCCCAGAAAAAGAGACCAACCAGAAACUUGAAGGAGUUCUUCCCAGAUGGAAUAAAUUUACCGUGUGAAUCACGUGAAUCCAAGGGAUGCAAGGAUUGGCCUAUACUGGAUUGGAUGCUCUGGUAUACUACUCAGAUUUCCUCUUCAGAACUAAUGCAUUUAUCCCCCAGCUAUGAAAUUGUUGGCUGCUGGCAGUCUAUAGCUAAUGCAGUCACUGGAAAUUAUCCUUGGUUGAAGGGACCUAACUUGUCCAAGUCUACACCUAUUUCCAGGAAUAGUUCAAUCCAUUGACUUGUUGAUGCAGGACUACACAGGUCAAGCCUUCUUGUUUUGAUGUGGACAAAUCUGAAGGGAUAUCCCAGCUCCAGACCUCGCAUAGGUCUGAGCUAAAGAGACCUCAUAGGUCUGUGUCAAUUUCUGUCUUUACCCAGUCCUGCUUCUCUCAUUCCUUUAUAGGUGUUGUUCUGGAACUUCCUAAUAAACCAGCUGCAUGCAAAUAUCUGCCUCAGAGUUUGUUUUCUAAAAAGACUUCUCCUAAGGUAGAAGGAAAACUCUCCCUGCUUCCAGGCUUUUGAACAUGCUAACUACUAGGAGUAUCCUCGUCCAUCCUCCUGAGCUUUAC